CUGAGAGGAUGACCAGCCACACUGGAACUGAGACACGGUCCAGACUCCUACGGGAGGCAGCAGUGGGGAAUAUUGCACAAUGGGCGCAAGCCUGAUGCAGCCAUGCCGCGUGUAUGAAGAAGGCCUUCGGGUUGUAAAGUACUUUCAGCGGGGAGGAAGGGAGUAAAGUUAAUACCUUUGCUCAUUGACGUUACCCGCAGAAGAAGCACCGGCUAACUCCGUGCCAGCAGCCGCGGUAAUACGGAGGGUGCAAGCGUUAAUCGGAAUUACUGGGCGUAAAGCGCACGCAGGCGGUUUGUUAAGUCAGAUGUGAAAUCCCCGGGCUCAACCUGGGAACUGCAUCUGAUACUGGCAAGCUUGAGUCUCGUAGAGGGGGGUAGAAUUCCAGGUG
rnacentral:rRNA from 1 species